rnacentral:rRNA from 1 species
CACUCCUGCGGGAGGCAGCAGUGGGGAAUUUUGGACAAUGGGCGAAAGCCUGAUCCAGCCAUGCCGCGUGCAGGAUGAAGGCCUUCGGGUUGUAAACUGCUUUUGUACGGAACGAAACGGCCUUUUCUAAUAAAGAGGGCUAAUGACGGUACCGUAAGAAUAAGCACCGGCUAACUACGUGCCAGCAGCCGCGGUAAUACGUAGGGUGCAAGCGUUAAUCGGAAUUACUGGGCGUAAAGCGUGCGCAGGCGGUUAUGUAAGACAGUUGUGAAAUCCCCGGGCUCAACCUGGGAACUGCAUCUGUGACUGCAUAGCUAGAGUACGGUAGAGGGGGAUGGAAUUCCGCGUGUAGCAGUGAAAUGCGUAGAUAUGCGGAGGAACACCGAUGGCGAAGGCAAUCCCCUGGACCUGUACUGACGCUCAUGCACGAAAGCGUGGGGAGCAAACAGGAUUAGAAACCCCUGUAGUCCCA